UUCGUGUGCAGCUGAUGGUGCCGCAGACCACAAAGGCGUCAAACCGGAUGUCUGAACUAUAGCUGACUGUCAGGGUCACCAGGAUGUCUGAACUCUUCCUGAGAGAUACAGUGAGAAGCUCACUGUUCCCAGAGGGGCCCAGAGCCGCUUAUUCCCCAUAUUGAGAAGACUCAGUUGAUGUGGUGGGAGGAAAAUCAGAAGAAAACCUGUGACACGCUAUGGGGACUGUGUUUCUCAUCUGGACUUAGGAGCCCCUGGGAGGAGUUGGCCCAAGUGUGUGGAGAGAGGGAAAUCUGGGCUUCUCUGCUUAAACUGCUGCCCCCGCAACCCGAUGCUGGACUAGCCAGAGGACAGAUAAACCCUUUUGUUUGGAAUUUUAGUUGCAUUAAUGUUACCCUCUGAGGUUCUUGCAGUGAUAUUGUAUUCGUACAGAGAUUAAAUAAUGCACAGGUGGACUGUAUUUUCUAAUUAGGAGAAUUUUUAAAGCAGUUGGAUGCUCUGGAUUUUAUUUACGAGUCUCAGAGUAAAGAAGGGCUGAACACAAGUGCAGACUCGCCUUUCACUGAUUAACAUGUUUCUACUGGCACAUUUUAAGAAAUAGGCCUUUUGCCAAACUAUUUAUGACACUGUCAUUUAUUUAAAAGUCGUCACCUGACUUAAGUCGUCUUCUUACUUCUGACAGUCACGCAGUCUAGGUGGGAAGGCUGAGCUCUUGAACUUUAAAGCUUUGUCUUCUUGAGAAACGUGUCUGAAAGAUCUGAUCAGUCAUGCUGAGUUGAUUACUUUUCCUGUAGCUGCAGGCGUUGAGAAGGUUUCUGGAUACUGCAGACAAACAUACCUUCUGGAGAACUCACUGAUCAUAUCAGAGAGGAAAGAAUGUGAUUGAGACACUACGUAAACCAAAAACUGUGAUUGCAUUAAUCGAUUACUUAUGAUUUAAGCAUUAGAAUGAAAUAAAUAAUUCAAACCAUUUUUA